AGAAUGAAACCAGGCUGGGCAUGGUGGCUCACACCUGUAAUCUCAGUGUUUUGGGAGGCCAAGAUGGAAAAUCUACAACAUGGAGUGUCAGACUGGGACAGCUAUUAUUAUCAGCCAAAAAAAGAGAUAUCACAGCUUUUUAUGACACACUGAAACUAGUGAGAGCAGAACAAAUUGUACCUCUUUCAGCUGCAAGCUUUGAAAGAGGCUCCUACCAACGAGGAUAUGAAUAUAUUGUGAGAUUGCACAUGUUGUGUGAGUUGGAGCAUAGCAUCAAACCACUUUUCCAGCAUUCUCCAGGUGACAGUUCUCAAGAAGAUUCUCUAAACUGGGUAGCUCGACUAGAAAUGACCCAGAAUUCCUACAGAGCCAAGGAGCCUAUCCUGGCUCUCCGGAGGGCUUUACUAAGCCUCAACAAAAGACCAGAUUACAAUGAAAUGGUUGGAGAAUGCUGGCUGCAGAGUGCCAGAGUAGCUAGAAAGGCUGGUCACCACCAGACAGCCUACAAUGCUCUCCUUAAUGCAGGGGAAUCACGACUCGCUGAACUGUACG
rnacentral:sRNA from 1 species